rnacentral:rRNA from 1 species
UAGGGAAUUUUUCGCAAUGGACGAAAGUCUGACGGAGCAAUGCCGCGUGAAUGAUGAAGGUCUUCGGAUCGUAAAAUUCUGUUGUAAGAGAAGAACACCAGGAAUAGGAAAUGCUUCCUGGCUGACGGUACCUUACCAGAAAGGGACGGCUAACUUCGUGCCAGCAGCCGCGGUAAUACGAAGGUCCCAAGCGUUAUCCGGAAUUAUUGGGCGUAAAGCGCAUGUAGGCGGUUUAUUAAGUCUGAUGUGAAAGCUCACGGCCUAACCGUGAAAUUGCAUUGGAAACUGGUGAACUAGAAUACUGGAGGGGUAAGUGGAAUUCCAUGUGUAGCGGUGGAAUGCGUAGAUAUAUGGAGGAACACCAAUGGCGAAGGCAGCUUACUGGACAGUGAUUGACGCUGAGAUGCGAAAGCGUGGGGAGCAAACA